rnacentral:rRNA from 1 species
CAACUUUCAACAACGGAUCUCUUGGUUCUGGCAUCGAUGAAGAACGCAGCGAAAUGCGAUAAGUAGUGUGAAUUGCAGAAUUCAGUGAAUCAUCGAAUCUUUGAACGCACAUUGCGCCCUUUGGUAUUCCAAAGGG